GAUGAACGCUGGCGGCGUGCUUAAUACAUGCAAGUCGAACGGACAGGCCCUGAUCUUGUGGGGUGCUCGUGUGGCGAACGGGUGAGUAAAACGUGUGUAACCUGCCCUUGUCUUUGGGAUAACUUUAGGAAACUGGGGCUAAUACCGGGUAGGAGCUCCUGCUCCAUGGUGGUGGUUGGAAAGUUUCGGCGGUUGGGGAUGGAUUCGCGGCUUAUCCGCUUGUUGGUGGGGUAGUGGCUUACCAAGGCUUUGACGGGUAGCCGGCCUGAGAGGUGUAACGGGCACAAUGGGACUGAGAGACGGCGCAGACUCCUACGGGAGGCAGCAGGGGGAAGUAUUGCACAAUGGGCGGAAGCCUGAUGCAGCAGUGCCGCGUGCGGAAUAACGUCCUACGGGUGAUAAACCGCUUUCGCCGGAGACGAAGCGUGAGUGACGGUAAUGAAUAAGGAAGCACCGGCUAACUACGUG
rnacentral:rRNA from 1 species